UGGGGUGUAGCCAAGCGGUAAGGCAUCGGUCUUUGGAAUCGACAUUCGUAGGUUCGAAUCCUGCCACCCCAGCCA
rnacentral:tRNA from 1 species